UCCUGGCUAGAACGAACGCUGGCGGCGCGUUUAAGCAUGCAAGUCGAGCGGCAAGGGCCUUCGGGCCCCUAGAGCGGCGGACGGGUGAGUAACACGUGGACAAUCUGCCCCCCGGCCCGGGAUAGGCCCAGGGAAACCUGGAUUAAUACCGGAUGAGACGGGACCCGCGAUGGCGGGAUCCGGGAAAGGCGCUGCGGCGCCGCCGGGGGAUGAGUCUGCGUCCCAUUAGCUAGACGGCGGGGUAACGGCCCACCGUGGCGACGAUGGGUAGCCGGCCUGAGAGGGUGGACGGCCACAUUGGAACUGAGACACGGUCCAGACUCCUACGGGAGGCAGCAGCUAAGAAUCGUUCCGCAAUGGGCGAAAGCCUGACGGAGCCGACGCCGCGUGAACGAAGAAGGCCGUGAGGUUGUAAAGUUCUUUUCGGGAGGGGGAACAACCGUGGCAGGGAAUGGCCGCGGGAUGACGUGAAUCCCGGAAUAAGCCCCGGCUAACUACGUGCCAGCAGCCGC
rnacentral:rRNA from 1 species